rnacentral:rRNA from 1 species
UACGUAGGGUGCGAGCGUUGUCCGGAAUUAUUGGGCGUAAAGAGCUUGUAGGCGGUUUGUCGCGUCUGCCGUGAAAUUUCGGGGCUCAACCCCGAACUUGCGGUGGGUACGGGCAGACUAGAGUGUGGUAGGGGAGACUGGAAUUCCUGGUGUAGCGGUGAAAUGCGCAGAUAUCAGGAGGAACACCGAUGGCGAAGGCAGGUCACUGGGCCGCAACUGACGCUGAGGAGCGAAAGCGUGGGGAGCAAACAGG